rnacentral:rRNA from 1 species
CGGGCGUUAAGUUGCAGGGUAUAGACCCGAAACCCGGUGAUCUAGCCAUGGGCAGGUUGAAGGUUGGGUAACACUAACUGGAGGACCGAACCGACUAAUGUUGAAAAAUUAGCGGAUGACCUGUGGCUGGGGGUGAAAGGCCAAUCAAACCGGGAGAUAGCUGGUUCUCCCCGAAAGCUAUUUAGGUAGCGCCUCGUGAAUUCAUCUCCGGGGGUAGAGCACUGUUUCGGCUAGGGGGCCAUCCCGGCUUACCAACCCGAUGCAAACUGCGAAUACCGGAGAAUGUUAUCACGGGAGACACACGGCGGGUGCUAACGUCCGUCGUGAAGAGGGAAACAACCCAGACCGCCAGCUAAGGUCCCAAAGUCAUGGUUAAGUGGGAAACGAUGUGGGAAGGCCCAGACAGCCAGGAUGUUGGCUUAGAAGCAGCCAUCAUUUAAAGAAAGCGUAAUAGCUCACUGGUCGAGUCGGCCUGCGCGGAAGAUGUAACGGGGCUAAACCAUGCACCGAAGCUGCGGCAGCGAACGUAUCACCCAAGACAACUUUACGGAGUUGACGAUUGACGGAGCGAAGCGACGUCAAAGCGUUCAUUAAAGUCGAGUUGGCUUAGGGAUACGUUCGUUGGGUAGGGGAGCGUUCUGUAAGCCUGUGAAGGUGUGUCGUGAGGCAUGCUGGAGGUAUCAGAAGUGCGAAUGCUGACAUAAGUAACGAUAAAGCGGGUGAAAAGCCCGCUCGCCGGAAGACCAAGGGUUCCUGUCCAACGUUAAUCGGGGCAGGGUGAGUCGACCCCUAAGGCGAGGCCGAAAGGCGUAGUCGAUGGGAAACGGGUUAAUAUUCCCGUACUUGGUGUUACUGCGAAGGGGGGACGGAGAAGGCUAUGUUGGCCGGGCGACGGUUGUCCCGGUUUAAGCGUGUAGGUGUGUGUUCCAGGUAAAUCCGGUUCACUUUAACACUGAGGCGUGACGACGAGGCACUACGGUGCUGAAGCAACAAAUGCCCUGCUUCCAGGAAAAGCCUCUAAGCAUCAGGUAACAUCAAAUCGUACCCCAAACCGACACAGGUGGUCAGGUAGAGAAUACCAAGGCGCUUGAGAGAACUCGGGUGAAGGAACUAGGCAAAAUGGUGCCGUAACUUCGGGAGAAGGCACGCUGACACGUAGGUGAAGUGAUUUACUCAUGGAGCUGAAGUCAGUCGAAGAUACCAGCUGGCUGCAACUGUUUAUUAAAAACACAGCACUGUGCAAACACGAAAGUGGACGUAUACGGUGUGACGCCUGCCCGGUGCCGGAAGGUUAAUUGAUGGGGUCAGCGCAAGCGAAGCUCCUGAUCGAAGCCCCGGUAAACGGCGGCCGUAACUAUAACGGUCCUAAGGUAGCGAAAUUCCUUGUCGGGUAAGUUCCGACCUGCACGAAUGGCGUAAUGAUGGCCAGGCUGUCUCCACCCGAGACUCAGUGAAAUUGAACUCGCUGUGAAGAUGCAGUGUACCCGCGGCAAGACGGAAAGACCCCGUGAACCUUUACUAUAGCUUGACACUGAACAUUGAGCCUUGAUGUGUAGGAUAGGUGGGAGGCUUUGAAGUGUGGACGCCAGUCUGCAUGGAGCCGACCUUGAAAUACCACCCUUUAAUGUUUGAUGUUCUAACGUGGACCCGUAAUCCGGGUUGCGGACAGUGUCUGGUGGGUAGUUUGACUGGGGCGGUCUCCUCCUAAAGAGUAACGGAGGAGCACGAAGGUUGGCUAAUCCUGGUCGGACAUCAGGAGGUUAGUGCAAUGGCAUAAGCCAGCUUGACUGCGAGCGUGACGGCGCGAGCAGGUGCGAAAGCAGGUCAUAGUGAUCCGGUGGUUCUGAAUGGAAGGGCCAUCGCUCAACGGAUAAAAGGUACUCCGGGGAUAACAGGCUGAUACCGCCCAAGAGUUCAUAUCGACGGCGGUGUUUGGCACCUCGAUGUCGGCUCAUCACAUCCUGGGGCUGAAGUAGGUCCCAAGGGUAUGGCUGUUCGCCAUUUAAAGUGGUACGCGAGCUGGGUUUAGAACGUCGUGAGACAGUUCGGUCCCUAUCUGCCGUGGGCGCUGGAGAACUGAGGGGGGCUGCUCCUAGUACGAGAGGACCGGAGUGGACGCAUCACUGGUGUUCGGGUUGUCAUGCCAAUGGCACUGCCCGGUAGCUAAAUGCGGAAGAGAUAAGUGCUGAAAGCAUCUAAGCACGAAACUUGCCCCGAGAUGAGUUCUCCCUGAGACUUAG